UCGGGUGCAAAGUUUGCAGGAAGCCGAAAGAAGGAGCAGGUAGCCUGCAAUAGACAUUAUAAAGGAAAUCAGCAGUACCAUCAAUUCUAAGCCAAAUUAAUGAUUUAAUAUUGUACAACACCUAGUAAAUAAACACUUGCCUCUAGAGUUGCAAGGUCUUGUGGAUCCAAAUUACAUCCAGUAAGUACAUGAAGAAGGAUAGACGGGUUGGCUGACAAUGGGAAUUCGCCAGGAGUCGCAUUCCCAAAGCAGUGCCGCACUUGUCUUUGAAACGUUGAUGUGGGGGUGGUUAGACAUUAUAAAGGAAAUCAGCAGCACCAUCAAUUCUAAGCCAAAUUAAUGAUUUAAUAUUGUACAACACCUAGUAAAUAAACACUUGCCUCUAGAGUUGCAAGGUCUUGUGGAUCCAAAUUACAUCCAGUAAGUACAUGAAGAAGGAUAGACGGGUUGGCUGACAAUGGGAAUUCACCAGGAGUGGCAUUCCCAAAGCAGUGCCGCACUUGUCUUUGAAACGUUGAUGUGGGGGUGGUUACAA
rnacentral:lncRNA from 1 species